GAUGAACGCUGGCGGCGUGCCUAAUACAUGCAAGUCGAGCGAACAGAUGAGGAGCUUGCUCCUCUGACGUUAGCGGCGGACGGGUGAGUAACACGUGGAUAACCUACCUAUAAGACUGGGAUAACUUCGGGAAACCGGAGCUAAUACCGGAUAAUAUAUUGAACCGCAUGGUUCAAUAGUGAAAGACGGUUUUGCUGUCACUUAUAGAUGGAUCCGCGCCGCAUUAGCUAGUUGGUAAGGUAACGGCUUACCAAGGCGACGAUGCGUAGCCGACCUGAGAGGGUGAUCGGCCACACUGGAACUGAGACACGGUCCAGACUCCUACGGGAGGCAGCAGUAGGGAAUCUUCCGCAAUGGGCGAAAGCUUGACGGAGCAACGCCGCGUGAGUGAUGAAGGUCUUCGGAUCGUAAAACUCUGUUAUUAGGGAAGAACAAAUGUGUAAGUAACUAUGCACGUCUUGACGGGACCUAAUCAGAAAGCCACGGCGAACUACGG
rnacentral:rRNA from 1 species